CCUACGGGAGGCAGCAGUGGGGAAUCUUCCUCAAUGGGCGCAAGCCUGACGGAGCAAUGCCGCGUGAACGAAGAAGGUCUUCGGAUUGUAAAGUUCUGUCCGUAUCGAAGAGAGAGUAUAGUGUGAAAAAUGAUAUACUAGGCUGGUAGAUGAGGAGGAAGCCCCCGCUAACUACGUGCCAGCAGCCGCGGUGAUACGUAGGGGGUUAGCGUUGUCCGGAAUCGUUGGGGGUAAAGGGCGCGUAGGCGGGAAUAUAAGUCAGAGGUGAAAGGUGGGGGCUCAACCCCUAGAGUGCAACUGAUACUGUAUAACUUGAGAGUGAGAGAGGGAAGCGGAAUGCGUAGUGUAGCGGUGAAAUGCGUAGAUAUUAGGAGGAACACCAGUGGCGAAGGCGGCUUUCUGGCUCCUAACUGACGCUGAGGCGCGAAAGCGUGGGGAGCGAACAGGAUUAGAUACCCCUGUAGUC
rnacentral:rRNA from 1 species